AUGGCGGGGAGCCCGCGGUCCAUCAACUCGUCCUUCUGUAGGAGUGGGGAGCGGCCUGUCGUGUCGGGACUUGGGCUUUCCUCGGGCUCGGAGGUGUCGGGAGGUCCGGGAGAGCCUGCGCCGGCGGCUGAUGGCGAAUCCAGGCGUCGGGUUGUGUCGUGGGUGCAGCCGCCGCCCACGAAGAAGACUCUUUGGCGGCACCGGGUCGGGUUGGAAGUGGAGCCGGGCGUUCAGCUGCACGCCCCGCGGCUGCUCCCCUCUCCUCCGCUGUGCCGGGAGGUCUCGCCGGAGAUGGACAACAAGUGCUUUAGGUGCCUGUUGGAGGGGCACUUUCACAAGGACUGCACCAACGACAUCGCGUGCUUCAGAUGCGGGCUUUCGGGUCAUGGUUCGCGCGACUGCAAGCGCCCCCGGAGUCCUUCUGCUGUGGAAGAUCUGCGUCGCGAGGCGGCGGCCAAGGCGGCCCGUCGUGAAGCAGACAGGCGUGCGGCCGGCCCUGCUCAGCGGCCUCCCCCUCCGCCACCUCCACCUGUGCAGGGGCAUCCCUCGACUCCGGUAUGGCCGGCUCUGUUCGUUCCUCGUCUCAAGGUGCGCACCGACCCGGUCCUGGAGCCGGUGGAGCCGGUGGACAUCUGCGUGGUGCGCCGUUCGCAGUCCAUGGAGGACCUGGAGCGGCGGCUACAGUUCGCCAUGGUGGCAUACGCUGGCGGUGCAAGGAGAGAUCUUUCGCCAGAGUUCGUCCUAGAUGCUCUGAGGACGCAAGUCAAGGUUGAUAGGGAUUGGGUUUCGGUCAUCAGAUUCCAGCCGGAGGAUUUCCUUGUGGUGUUUGGGCGUGCAGAGCACCGGAGCAGGGUGAGCGCCCUUCCUUUCCUGGAGCACCGGGGAGUUCGUCUAUACUUCCGGCCAUGGAACCAGCAGGCACAAGAAGUGCACGCGCUGAUGGGAUUCAAGGUUCGCUUGGAGCUGGAAGGCAUCCCCCCUCAUGCUUGGGACAGAGAGGUGGCGGAGACAUGUGUUUUGUCGAAGGAGGAGCCCACCGCUCAGGCAGCAUCACAGGGUGGGUUGGUGGAGCUAGCGGCCCCAUAG
rnacentral:rRNA from 1 species